UUAUGAUGGAGGGAGAUUCAGUGACUCUAAACACUAACACUGAAACAAACCAGACUGAAGAGAUUAGAUGGUAUUUUAAUAAAAAUAUCAUCGCUGAAAUCAGUAAUCUCAGUAAGAUCUGUACAGAUGUUCAGUGUAAAGAUGGUGAUGAGAGAUUCAGAGACAGACUGAAGCUGGAUCAUCAGACUGGAUCUCUGACCAUCACAAACAUCAGAAACACAGACUCUGGACUCUAUUCACUAAGGAUCAGCCGCGGCUUAUUUCAGAUAUUCAGUGUUGCUGUUCAUGAAGUCCCUGCUGCUGAACGAGAUCAAUUGAAGACAAAGUCAGUGAAGGAGGGAGAAUAUUUUGUUUUAAAUGCUGAUCCUGUGUUAAAAAACCCAAAUGAUCUGGUGACGUGGUAUUUUAAUGACAUUCCUAUAGCUGAAAUCACUGAGGAUCAUAGUAGGAUUUGCACAGAUGUUCAGUGUAAAAAUGGUGAUGAGAGAUUCAGAGACAGACUGAAGCUGGAUCAUCAGACUGGAUCUCUGACCAUCACAAACACCAGAAUCACAGACUCUGGAGUUUAUAAACUAAAGAUCAGCAGCAGGAGUAUCAGCAUCAGCAUCAGAUUCAGCAUCAUUAGGAGCUUCAGUGUCACUGUCAUUGGUGGAGGGUCAGUGUCUGUGAUGGAAGGAGAUUCAGUCACUCUACAGACUGGCAUUAAAACAAAACAACAAGAAAGGAUUGAGUGGUAUUUUAAUGGCUUUCAAAUAGCUAAAAUCACUGGAGAUCUUCGUUUUAUCUGUACAGAUGUUCAGUGUAAAGAUGCUGAUGAGAGAUUCAGAGACAGACUGAAGCUGGAUCAUCAGACUGGAUCUCUGACCAUCACAAACAUCAGAACCACAGACUCUGGACUUUAUAAACUACAGAUCAACAGCAGAAGAGACAAAAUCAGGACAAAGAUUUUCAUUGUUGCUGUAUCUGGUUUUCUCAGUGUCGGUGGAGAUGGAUUAUCAGCAUUUGUGAUGGAGGAAGAUUCAGUCACUCUACACUCUGAUAUUAAAACAAACCAACAGAAAUUUAUUAAAUGGUUUAUGAAUGGCAUUCGCAUUGCUGCAAUCACUGGAGAUCUUAGUUAUAUCUGUACAGAUGUUCAGUGUAAUGAAGGUACUGAGAGUUUCAGAAACAGACUGAAGCUGGAUCAUAAAACUGGAUCUCUGACCAUCACAAACAUCACAAACACAGACUCUGGAUUUUAUCAACUAGAGAUCAUCAGUGACACCAGUAAAAAUACAUUUGGUGUUGAAGUCCAUAAUUUUUCUGCUGCAAAACGAGAUGAAAUAAAGCGAAAGUCAGUGAAAGAGGGAGAAUCUGUCACUUUGGACACUUAUUUAAUAAAAACCCCACAUCAUUCAUUGUCAUGGUAUUUUAAUGACACUUGUAUAGCUGAAAUCAGUGGAAAUCAGAGCAAGAUCUGUACAGAUGUUCAAUGUGAAGAUGGUAAUGAGAGAUUCAGAAACAGACUGAAGGUGGAUCAUUCUUCUGGAUCUCUGACCAUCACAAACAGCAGAAUCACAGACUCUGGAGAUUAUCAACUAAAUAUCACCAGCAGGAGGAUCAGCAUCAUUAGACGCUUCAGUGUUUCUGUCAUUGCUGAUCUAACAGGAAUAUAUGCUGCUGUUUUACUGUUCUGCUGCUGGUGAUCGCAUCUGCUGGUUUAAUUUACUCUUGCAAGUGCCAUUCAAGAAGGAAACACAUCAGGACCCAGCGCAAUGAUCAGGUGAAUGAUGUUGAAGACUUCUCCCCUGAUCAGACUGACUCUAUUUUGAUGACUCCUGCCAGUCAGACAUCCCAGACUGAGACUGAUGCUGUUAAUGAGGCACCAACGUAACAUUAUUCAUUAUUAUGAUACUUUCAAAAAAAAGGCAGUGAAGAGAAGAUUGGAAAUGAGAGAAGAGCAUCAGCUGAAAAUGACAACACACACACACAUAUAUAUUUAUUCUGUAUACUUUCCUCACACAAAAGAGAGACAAAGAUUGUGACACCGUUGUGUCCUUGAUUAAGACUCUAAAAACUAAUAACUGCACUGAAAAACACUCAAGCAACAGCAAAAUACUGAAUAUGUAUUUUUGUAAUAUAUUAUGUAUUAUGCUCCAUAACUGCUAGUUAUGCACAAGCACAUUUCAUAAAAUAAUAUAUGCAUUUUCUAUUAUAAUCUUCAGAUUUUUGCUACUUAUUCUGAAAGUCUUUAUUAUUGAAAUUGUACUUUUGUUGUUAAUUGUGAUUCUUUAUGUAUGUAUGCACGUAUGUACCAGGAGCACCUUCCAUUGACACCCUUUGCAUUGACAUAGAGAGUAAGUCACAGAAGGUCAUUACUAAAAGGGGGGGCUGUUUACAGAGUGCUGUAUGAAAGCAUAUUAAAUGCAAAGUUGACUGGAAGGAAGAAACUGGGUAGGAAAAGGUGCACAUGCAACAGGGAUGACCGCAAGUUUGAGAAUACUGUCAAGCAAACCCGAUUCAAACACUUGGGAGAGCUUCACAAGGAGUGGACUGAAGCCGGAGUAGCGCAUCAAGAGUCAUCACGCUCAGACGUCUUCAGGAAAAGGACUACCAAGCCACUUCUAAAACAGAAACGUCAAAAGCAUCUUACCUGGGCUAAGGAGAAAAUGAGCUUGACUUUUUCUCAGUGAUCCAAAGCGUCUUUUCAGAUAAAAGUAAAUUUUGCAUUUCGUGUUGAAAUCAUGAUCCCAGAGUCUGGAGGAAGACUGGAGAGGGACAGAAUACAAGCUGCUUGAAGUCCAGUGUGAAGUUUCUAAAUUCAGUGAUGAUUUGGGGUGCUGUGACGUCUGCUGGUGUUGGUCUAUUGUGUUGUAUCAAGUCCAAAGUCAAUGCUGCAGUCUACCAGCAGAUUUUGGAGCACUUUAUGCUUCCAUCUGCUGACAAGCUUUAUGGAGAUGCUGAUUUCCUUUUCCAGCAGGACUUUAGCACCUGCCCACAGUGCAAAAAACACUUCCAAGUGGUUUUCUGACCAUGACAUUACUGUGCUUGAUUGACCAGCCAACAUGCCUGACCUGAACCCCAUUGAGAAUCUAUGGGAUAUUUUCAAGAAUAAGAUGAGAAACAGUUGAUCCAACAAUAUACAGAUGAGCUGAAGGUUCAAUAGUGCCUCAGCAGUGCCACAGGCUGAUCGCUUCCAUGCCACUCCUUACUCAUGCUGUCAUUUGUGCUAGGAGCAAGUCAUUUGUGCUGCAGACAAGUGCAUAAAUGAACAUACUUUAAAGAACUUGAACUUUUCUGUUUUGCAAAUCUGUUUUUUGAUUGUUCUUAGGAAAUAUUCUAAUAUUUGAGAUACUGGGUUUUGAUUGAU